GUGUCUCAGUGAUGACGUCAUCCUCGGCAGGUUGAUGGUUUCAGUGUUCAGCAGGUGCCGUCAGCUGAUUGGCUGUAUGAGCUUCGGGAUCGGCUCUCUGGUCUCGUCCUCGAAGCGUGUCAUUGGUUGGUUUUACCUGCUGGGGGAGGAGUUUGGGCGGAGCAAACACCUGAGAGUGACAUCACAGUGGAACGGACCAAUGAGGAGCCGCGAGGACACUCCAACAC